rnacentral:rRNA from 1 species
AUUGAACGCUGGCGGCAGGCCUAACACAUGCAAGUCGAGCGGAGCGGCGGUCGGGUGUGUAAUGCCUAGGAAUCUGCCUGGUAGUGGGGGCUAACGUCCGGAAACGGGCGCUAAUACCGCAUACUAUCAGAUGAGCCUCGGUCGGAUUAGCUAGUUGGUGUGGUAAAGGCCUACCAAGGCGACGAUCCGUAACUGGUCUGAGAGAAGUAUCAGUCAGACUGGAACUGAGACACGGGCCAGACUCCUACGGGAGGCAGCGGAGGGGAAUAUUGGACAAUGGGCGAAAGCCUGAUCCAGCCAUGCCGCGUGUGGGAAGAAGGGCUUCGGAUUGUAAAGCACUUUAAGUUGGUAGGCGUUACCAACAGAAUAAGCACCGGCUAACUUCGUGCCAGCAGCCGCGGUAAUAC